UGCGUAGGCGGAUUAAUAAGUCAGUGGUGAAAACCUGCAGCUUAACUGCAGACCUGCCAUUGAUACUGUUAGUCUUGAGUACGGUCAAGGUAGGCGGAAUGUGUAAUGUAGCGGUGAAAUGCUUAGAUAUUACACAGAACGCCGAUUGCGAAGGCAGCUUACUGGGCCAUUACUGACGCUGAGGCACGAAAGCGUGGGGAGCGAACAGGAUUAGAUACCCUGGUAGUCC
rnacentral:rRNA from 1 species